CCCACCAAGUAACUCCCUACACUAGCGACUCAAACUGGCCCUAGUCCUCUGCCCUAAUUUGCGUCCUCCAGACCUUCCUAUCUAGGGUCAUGUCCUCGGUGAGCUGUAACUGCUCCAUGUCCCGCCUAAUCACCUCCCCCCAGUACUUCUUCGGCCUACCCCUACCCCGCCUAAAACCAUCCAACGCUAGCCUCUCACACCUACGGAUUGGGGCAUCCCUGCCCCUCCUCUUCACGUGUCCGAACCAUCUCAAUCGGGCUUCCCGC
rnacentral:lncRNA from 1 species